UACGUAGGGGGCAAGCGUUGUCCGGAAUCAUUGGGCGUAAAGAGCGCGUAGGCGGUCCGGUAAGUCCGCUCUGAAAGUCCGGGGCUCAACCCCGGGAGGCGGGCGGAUACUGCCGGGCUAGAGUCCGGAAGAGGCGAGUGGAAUUCCUGGUGUAGCGGUGAAAUGCGCAGAUAUCAGGAGGAACACCGAUGGCGAAGGCAGCUCGCUGGGACGGUACUGACGCUGAGGCGCGAAAGCUAGGGGAGCAAACAGG
rnacentral:rRNA from 1 species